rnacentral:rRNA from 1 species
UACAGAGGUCCCAAGCGUUGUUCGGAUUCACUGGGCGUAAAGGGUGUGUAGGUGGCGAGGUAAGUUGCGUGUUAAAUUUCAGGGCUUAACCCUGAAACCGCUCGCAAUACUGCCUUGCUCGAGGACUGUAGAGGAGACUGGAAUUCACGGUGUAGCAGUGAAAUGCGUAGAUAUCGUGAGGAAGACCAGUGGCGAAGGCGAUUCUCUGGGCAGUUCCUGACACUGAGACACGAAGGCCAGGGGAGCAAACGGG